CCUACGGGUGGCUGCAGUGAGGAAUAUUGGUCAAUGGGCGGAAGCCUGAACCAGCCAAGUAGCGUGCAGGAUGACGGCCCUACGGGUUGUAAACUGCUUUUAUACGGGAAUAACGCGCCUUACGUGUAGGGCUUUGCAUGUACCGUAUGAAUCAGGACCGGCUAAUUCCGUGCCAGCAGCCGCGGUAAUCCGGAAGGUCCGGGCGUUCGCCGGAUUUAUUGGGGUUAAAGGGAGCGUAGGCCGCAUGUCAAGCGUGCUGUGAAAUGUCCGGGCUCAACCCGGGCCUUGCAGCGCGAACUGGCGUGCUUGAGUCCGCGGAAAGCAGGCGGAAGUCGUCGUGUAGCGGUGAAAUGCGUAGAUAUGACGAAGAACCCCGAUGGCGAAGGCAGCUUGCUGCAGCGGAACUGACGCUGAUGCGCGAAAGCGUGGGUAUCGAACAGGAUUAGAUACCCUGGUAGUC
rnacentral:rRNA from 1 species